rnacentral:tRNA from 1 species
AGAGACUUAGGUUUAACACAAGACCAAGAGCCUUCAAAGCCCUUAGUGGGAGUGAAAAUCUCUCAGUCUCUG